AUGGACACUUGUUCCUCGUGGAUUUUGUGUGUGACAUUCCGUACCAGGGAUUUUUCCGCCUGGUUCCAAUUUCUCUCUCCAUUCCAGCGGUUCCCAACAUCUCCUCUGGAUCCCGUGUCCAAUCCCCCUCACGUUGGGUCCCACCAGCCUGCAGCACAUCCCGCCCUGUGCCAGCACCACAGGAAUCCAGGGAUUUCUGGGCUUUUUUUCGGGAUGCUGCACAAGGAACGUGCCCGAGAUGUCACUGCACGGUGUCUGUGCCUGAGCUGGGAGCAGAGAACACGGGGAGAGCGAAGGGGAAUCUCCGGGAUCAGCCUGCAGACGUCCAGCUUGGAGACUCUUCAAAUCCGAGGGGAUCAAGGGUGGCUUGACUGGUCAAGGAGAGGCAGCCAAGCCAAACAGGAGCAGCUCCCAGACCUCCUCCCCGAGCCAGAGGCUCCCGGUUACGCUCUGGAUUUGGUGAUUUCGGUGCUGAUACCAACCCAGCCACAGCAGGGUGAGGUUUGGGAAUCACGGAAUAUUCCCCAGAUCCCACAGGGAUCAUCGAGCCGGGACAAUCCCAACAAUCCCACCGUGACAACCAGGCAAGCUGACAUCCCGGGCUCUGAGCAAACACCAGGGGAGAGAUGGAAGCUGCCUAUCACCAGCCAUGUUACACACGUCAUUAGCAAAACCUUAAUUAAAACAAAAGAUGCAAAUUGUACCAGGCUGUGCUGCCUUUGCUGCGGCUCCGUAAUGGCUUCGACGCUUCCUUGGGCACGUUCGCUCCUUCUCCAGCGAAGCUGCUUCACAUUAAGUUGUUUGUUUAGCAGCUACCGGGGUUUUUGGCAGGACAGCUGCUGCCUCCUGAGGGAUGUGGAGCAGGAGGGUCCUGCGGUGCUGUCCCAGACACAUCCAGGUGAAUCCUCCUCGUGCCACAGAGCCACAGCAGCCACGUCCCACCUGGAGCUCAGGCCAGGGGUCUGUGGCUGUGCCAGGGCUGUGGGGAGCUGGAGCAGCCGCGGCUGA
rnacentral:lncRNA from 1 species